rnacentral:rRNA from 1 species
UACGUAGGUGGCAAGCGUUGUCCGGAUUUAUUGGGUUUAAAGGGUGCGUAGGCGGUCUUCUAAGUCAGUUGUGAAAUACUUCAGCUUAACUGGAGAGGUGCAAUUGAUACUGGAAGACUUGAGUACUGAUGAGGUAGGCGGAAUGGACGGUGUAGCGGUGAAAUGCUUAGAUAUCGUCCAGAACACCGAUAGCAAAGGCAGCUUACUAAGGAGUAACUGACGCUGAGGCACGAAAGUGUGGGGAUCAAACAGG